rnacentral:rRNA from 1 species
UGCAUGCAGUCGACGCAGCAGCUUCGGCUGGCUGCGUGGCGAACGGCUGAGGAACACGUGGGUAACCUGCCCCGGAGUGGGGGAUACCCCGUCGAAAGACGGGAUAAUCCCGCAUACGCUCUACGGAGGAAAGCCCCUACGGGCGCUCUGGGAGGGGCCUGCGGCCCAUCAGGUCGUUGGUGUGGUAACGGCGCACCAAGCCACUGACGGGUACCCGGUCUGAGAGGACGGCCGGGCAGACUGGGACUGCGACACGGCCCAGACUCCUACGGGAGGCAGCAGCAAGGAAUUUUCCCCAAUGGGCGCAAGCCUGAGGGAGCAACGCCGCGUGGAGGACGACGGCCUUCGGGUUGUAAACUCCUUUCGGGUGGGACGACUGCGACGGUACCACCAGAAGCAGCCCCGGCUAACUCUGUGCCAGCAGCCGCGGUAAGACAGAGGGGGCAAGCGUUGUCCGGAGUUACUGGGCGUAAAGGGCGCGGAGGCGGCCUGCGGCGUCGGCGCUGAAAGCGCCCCGCUUAACGGGGCGAGGCGUGCCGAUACGCGCAGGCUUGAGGCGAGCAGAGGGUGGUGGAAUUCCGGGUGGAGCGGUGAAAUGCGUAGAGAUCCGGAGGAACGCCAGUGGGGAAGCCGGCCACCUGGGCUCGACCUGACGCUG